rnacentral:siRNA from 1 species
UCUGUGGUAUAAGGUGGCUUGUG